UUCGCAAUGCCCGAAAGGGUGACGAAGCGACGCCGCGUGGGUGAGGAAGGCCUUCGGGUUGUAAAGCCCUGUCAGGAGUUAAGAAAUGCAGGUAUGCUAAUAUCAUGCCUGCUUGACAAAGGCUCCAAAGGAAGCCACGGCUAACUCUGUGCCAGCAGCCGCGGUAAUACAGAGGUGGCAAGCGUUGUUCGGAAUUAUUGGGCGUAAAGAGCACGUAGGUGGAUUUGUAAGUCAGAUGUGAAAGCCUUCUGUUCAACGGAAGAAUUGCAUCUGAAACCACAGACCUUGAGUAUAGGAGGGGAGAAUGGAACUUCUGGUGGAGCGGUGAAAUGCGUAGAUAUCAGAAGGAACGCCGGCGGCGAAAGCGACUCUCUGGACCGAAACUGACGCUGAGUGUGCGAAAGCUAGGGGAGCAAACGGGAUUAGAUACCCCGGUAGUCCUAGCCGUAAACGAUGGGCACUAAGUAGAGGGGUUUUGAUUAUCUCUCUGCCGGAGCUAACGCAUUAAGUGCCCCGCCUGGGGAGUACGGCCGCAAGGCUAAAACUCAAAAGAAUUGACGGGGGCUCGCACAAGCGGUGGAGCAUGUGGCUUAAUUCGAUGCAACGCGAAGAACCUUACCGGGGCUUGACAUGAUAGAAGUAGAAACCCGAAAGGGCGACGAACGGUAUCCAAUCCGUAACUAUCACAGGUGUUGCAUGGCUGUCGUCAGCUCGUGUCGUGAGACGUUGGGUUAAGUCCCCUAACGAGCGAAACCCUUGUCUUUAGUUGCCAUCAGGUUAAGCUGGGCACUCUAAAGAGACUGCCGUCGUUAAGACGGAGGAAGGUGGGGAUGACGUCAAGUCAUCAUGGCCCUUAUAUCCAGGGCUACACACGUGCUACAAUGGCCGGUACAAUGUGUUGCGAGACAGCGAUGUCAAGCCAAUCACAAAAAGCCGGUCUAAGUUCGGAUUGGAGUCUGCAACUCGACUCCAUGAAGCUGGAAUCGCUAGUAAUCGCGUGUCAGCAUAACGCGGUGAAUACGUUCCCGGGCCUUGUACACACCGCCCGUG
rnacentral:rRNA from 1 species